rnacentral:rRNA from 1 species
AGCGAACGCUGGCGGAAUGCUUAACACAUGCAAGUCGCACGGGCCUUUCGGGGUCAGUGGCGGACGGGUGAGUAACGCGUAGGAAUGUGUCCUGAGGUGGGGGAUAACGCUGGGAAACUGGCGCUAAUACCGCAUGAGUGCUGAGGCAGAAAGCCGCAAGGCGCCUUGGGAGCAGCCUGCGUCCGAUUAGCUUGUUGGUGGGGUAAUGGCCUACCAAGGCUGCGAUCGGUAGCUGGUCUGAGAGGAUGAUCAGCCACACUGGGACUGAGACACGGCCCAGACUCCUACGGGAGGCAGCAGUGGGGAAUAUUGGACAAUGGGCGCAAGCCUGAUCCAGCAAUUCCGCGUGGGUGAAGAAGGUCUUCGGAUUGUAAAGCCCUUUCGGCAGGGACGAUGAUGACGGUACCUGCAGAAGAAGCCCCGGCUAACUUCGUGCCAGCCGCCGCGGUAAAAC